AUUGAACGCUGGCGGCAGGCUUAACACAUGCAAGUCGAGCGGGGUGAUGGUGCUUGCACUAUCACUUAGCGGCGGACGGGUGAGUAAUGCUUAGGAAUCUGCCUAUUAGUGGGGGACAACAUCUCGAAAGGGAUGCUAAUACCGCAUACGUCCUACGGGAGAAAGCAGGGGAUCACUUGUGACCUUGCGCUAAUAGAUGAGCCUAAGUCGGAUUAGCUAGUUGGUGGGGUAAAGGCCUACCAAAGCGACGAUCUGUAGCGGGUCUGAGAGGAUGAUCCGCCACACUGGGACUGAGACACGGCCCAGACUCCUACGGGAGGCAGCAGUGGGGAAUAUUGGACAAUGGGGGGAACCCUGAUCCAGCCAUGCCGCGUGUGUGAAGAAGGCCUUAUGGUUGUAAAGCACUUUAAGCGAGGAGGAGGCUCUUUUGGUUAAUACCCUAGAUGAGUGGACGUUACUCGCAGAAUAAGCACCGGCUAACUCUGUGCCAGCCGCCGCAGUAA
rnacentral:rRNA from 1 species